rnacentral:rRNA from 1 species
GGAUGCGAUCAUACCAGCACUAAUGCCAACCGCGAUCCCAUCAGAACUCCGAAGUCAAGCUGGAUUGGGCAUCUGAGAGUACUACUAGGCAUUUUACCCCCGUUGGAAGUCCUCGUGUCUGCAUCCC